UUAAAUCUUCUCCGUCCCCGUUUCCGUUGCCUGUUCUUCCUCACGUUUCUUUCCUGCCUCGCAGUUCCUCGGGCAGAAGCUGAGCUGUGAAACAGGAGAGUUGGGAACGGAGUGAACAAUGGGUGGGGGGUGAAGAGCUGCUGCUGGCACCUGGGGAGUUGUGUAGUGGAGUUGGCCAAUCGUGUAAUGUAUGGAAUGUUUUUAGUGGCUCCUGGGAAAAAAAGAAAGGGGAGGUUUUAAUUUAUGUGGUAGGUUUUUUUAUUUCCUCAGUCUGCCCAGUAAAAGCUGUUCAACAACAUUCUGUUAUUUGCCCCUCACAUACCUUGCUGUGGAGCCUGGUCAAAUGAGUGUCCUUGGCAGAGCUUUCCUGUGGAAUAUCCUCUGAGCAUCCCCUCUGGGGUCUGCACAAGGGUUUCAGUAGUGGAGAAACUUUUCUAACCCCUCUUCGCUGAGAGGGUAAUUGUGCUCUGGAUCACUGCUCAGUGCUCAGCCCUGUGUUUUAAAAAAUACUGCAAGGAAAUGCACAUGCACACUGAUUUGGUUUUGUAUCAGUCACAUGUAUCUGUAAAAAAGGGAGUGUGUGUUCAUGCAUGAUGUAUCUUUCUAGUAUCUUUCUGGAUGUUGAUUAAUCCUAAAUGAACUUACCUAUGAUGAAAAAUUGUCUAAUGCUUUGCAACUUAAUUUUGAUUUCCUACCAAUAUCAGUAUAACCUGUUAAAGUAGUGAGAAAAUGCAACUGAAAUAUUGUACCCAUGUCAUAUUCUUGCAUUUUGCUAAAUGGUAACUUGCUUGCUCAUUUCAGGUAAUGAUUUUGUAGCCUAAUCUUCUGUGAUAAAACUGAUAAACUCUCAGGUAUCUAAUGCCGCAUGAAAAUAGUUUCAUAUCAAAUCCUGUUUCAAUGAUAUAAAUGCUGGUUUAUAAUGUCACUAUGAUCCCCAAAGCAAACUGUGGGAACUAUUUUGUAAACUCCCAGUUAAAACUUGUAAUGAAAGCGUCAUGUUAAGAGGAAACCCACUAUAAUUUUGCAUUAAAUUUGGCAGAAAAUCACCCUCCUGGCAUUCCAGCUGCUCCUCAGGUAUCAGAGGGGCUGGGACAGCUGGGUUUAGCUUCUGAGCCGUGGCCAGUUCAGCAGCAGACAUGCAGAGCUGGUGUGACACUGGAAGGAGAUGACCUUUGGAGCUCCUUCCAACCCAGCCCACCCCGUGGUUCUGUGCUGGUGGAGGUACCAGCUUCUUUGGUCUUGCUGGGAAUGCUAUGCUCCCGAUUUUUGUGUGUUUGAGCAGAAGAAAUUAACCUGGAAUGUGGAGAGAGCUCAGGACAGCUGCAGCUGUGCAGUUGCUGAGCUUUAUAUCCAGGAUACAGGAGAUUUUCUCUCCAGCAUGCAGAGUGAGAUGCAAGCACAGCGUCUCAGAGAAGCAGAGUCACAGAACACCCUCGGCUGGAAGGGACCCACAAGGAUCAUCGAGCUGAACUCCCGUCCCUCCACAGGACACCCCAAUAAUCCCAGCAUGUGUCUGAAAACACUGCCUAAAAGCUUCUGGAACUGUGGCAGGCUUGGGACCAUUACCUGCCCUGGGGGAGCCUGACCACUGUCUGGGUGAGGAGCCUUUUCCUAAAGUCCAGCGUAAACUCCACUGAUACUGCUU